UUCCUUGUUUUUGGCUUGUGCAUCAUAUUUGCAUCUCAUUAGUCCCCGGCUGAGAAGGCCUUCAGUUCAUUAACGACAUCCUCCGACGAGCUCCCAUAAUUCCACGCUUCUCUCGCGCUACCUGCCGCGCACAAUCGGCGAGGGGGAAAAAGCGAAGAAGAAAAGAGGCGCAGGCAUGAGAAGGGCAACAUUUUAUGCAAUGCCAAAACAAAAGCGUCAGGAGGGAGAGAGAGAAUGAGACUCCUUUUUUUUUUGUGAUGAAUGAAAAGCCAUUCACAGAGGCCUCUGCUGGAACUCCAUCAGGACCAGAGAGAAGAGUAGAAAAUGGGGAGAGCCAUGAAUGCAGCCACAUGAUUGAGGGCCUGGUGUCACAUUCAGAGUUCAAGUCUGCUCCUGUCUGGGAGACAGAAGCAGGACUUCCCGUGGAAUAAAUUUUGCUGGAUGUGUGUGACAGAGCCGGGAGGCCAUUUCUCAGGCUGGGCCAUGAGCUUGUUGUCUGCUCUGAGAGUUGGAGGAGUCGCUGUUUCCGCAGAGGAAAGACCCAGCAACGGUCACAACACACCACAGCCCCACACCAUGACAGCCCAUACAUCCGCAUGUGGCAAUACACACACAUGACACACUCUGACAAUUGCCUGCACACCACCACCUACCAAGUCACAAGAAACCAUGAGAGAUUUAGUAGUGUAAGUCAUGCAUUGAUUGAUUAAUUACAAGAAGCUCUGCAUCUGUUCUGUUGUGUACACCAGAUACUAAACCAAAAGAGCUACAUUACUUUAGCUGUGUAAGUCUAGAUUAUAAAUUGAGACUCAAAAACUAACUAACUAACUAAAUAAAUAAAUGACUAAAUAUUAUGUGUGUGUAUAAACUUUAUACCAUAGCACUGUUGAGAUCUCCAGCCCGAUUUGUCAGAAGGUGUUUAUUAAUAUAUUCUCUACUAACAUCUUGUUCACAGGGACAUACAUGGUAGAUGCUUCAAAUAAUCUAAGCCUAAUAAUAAUUGGAUUUAAAAAACAUUAAUGAAAUGUUUAUUUAACAUUUAUGGAAGGACUCUAGGUGUCAGCUCUUUCUAAUGUUCAGUAAGUUUUCUGCAACAAGAGAAUUUUCAGGAUGAAAGACUGUUUUUUCUCUUUUCUGGUUUCUCUGUAAUAUUACAAGAUGCAUUUUUUGUUUUAUUAUUUCAAGAGAGAGAAAACAGAGGCUGGUGUGGGAAGAAAUGAGGGAGUAAGUGAUAACAGGAAUUAACUCAAGGAUGUUCCAUAACAUUAAAUGUAACUAUAAACAUAUAAAAAAGUAUGUCAUUAUUUAAUUAAUAAAAUUGUAGUACUUGUUGACAAAUUGCUAUGGUAUAAAACACUUUGGGAUGUGCCAUUAUUGGAUAUUAAUCAACUUUAGGAUGGUAAUUUUAACUUUGCCUUGCAUAGGACCACACCACACCACCUGUCAUUGAUUAUUUUUCUCUAACAGCAUGCCCAGUCAUGUUUUGUUCCUGACAUGAUAGCUUUCCUGUAUUUGCU